rnacentral:rRNA from 1 species
AGUAGUGAUACGCUCAUUUUUAGGGUUAAGCCAUGCAAGUGUAAGCACAUUUGCAGCUGCCAUCCUUUCGGAGGCUCACGCAUUGAAACCGCAGAAUGCUCAGUACACAAUUCAGAAUGUUGAUGGGAUCGAGACGGUCGGCCGCGCGUCAGCCGUCGGCGAUGGACAACUGUGGCAAACCUAUAGCUAAUACAUGAUAACUACCGAGGCCCCCGGCGACGGGGGUCACUAACGCAUACGCAGAGUCCAAUCGCAAAAGCCUGAAAGCAUGUGUUCGGCGCACCCGUCAGGGGCCCGCUCCGUUGCUGGUUUAUCUAUCAACUGAGACGAUAUGUGAAGGGCAUAACAUGGUGACCACGGGUCACGGGGAAUCAGGGUUCGAUUCCGGAGAGGGAGCCUGAGAGAUGGCUACCACCUCCAAGGAAGGCAGCAGGCGCGAAAAUUACCCACUAUCGGCCUGGUGAGGUAGUAAAGAGGAUUGACGGUGCGGGACUCAUCCGAGGCCCCGUAAUUGGAUUGAGAACAAUCUAAAUCCAAUAUUGACGCCUAUUGGAGGGCAAGUCUGGUGCCAGCAGCCGCGGUAAUUCCAGCUCCAAUGGCGUAUAUUAACGUUGUUGCGGUUAAAAAGCUCGUAGUCAAGGUUCUGCGCGGCCGCACCGGCAGCGCCCCUCGGGGUUCCUCUGGUGCGCCGCGCAAACACUGAUCAGAAGGGGUCCGUCGCGGGCGCGCUCGCGCGCGCCGGCGCGGCCCACGCGGUUCGUAUCGCUUGCUCUUUGCUGAGUGGCUCGACGGACCGAUCGCACUACCUUGAACAAAGUAGAGUGAUUAAGCCAGGCUAAAACAAGUCUGCAUAAAGUAGUACGGCAUAGUCGAAAAGGACUGGUGGCCUCCGGCUCGAGGCUCUUACCGGUAAUGAUAGAUGGGGACUGCUGGGGGCAUCCGUAUUGCAGGGCGAGAGGUGAAAUUCUAGGACCCUUGCAAGACGAACAAGCGCGAAAGCAUUUGCCAAAAAUGUUCCCAUCGAUCAAGAACGAAGGUUAGAGGUUCGAAGGCGAUCGGAUACCGCCCUAGUUCUGACCUUAAACUAUGCCAGCUAGCUUGUCGCUACGGUUACAUAGAUACCUAGCGAGCAGCCUCCGGGAAACCCGAGCUCUUGGGUUCCGGGGGUAGUAUGGUUGCAAAGCUGAAACUUAAAGGAAUUGACGGAAGGGCACCACCAGGAGUGGAGCCUGCGGCUUAAUUUGACUCAACACGGGAAAGCUCACCGGGCCCGGACCUAAGGUGGAUCGACAGAUUGAUAGCUCUUUCUUGAUUUUAUGGAUGGUGGUGCAUGGCCGUUCUUAGUUGGUGGAGUGAUUUGUCUGGUUAAUUCCGUUAACGAGCGAGACUCCGGCUUACUAACUAGACGCUUGGCAUACACAGGCCGGCCGGUCAGCGCGAGCGCGCGCGCGCGCCUGCCGCUCGCCCGAACAAGGCGUGCGGUCGCGUGCCGUGCGUGCGUCCCGCGUCUGCCGGCGCGGUUCUUGCUGCCUGCGUGACACAAUCUUCUUAGAAGGAUAAGCUAUGUAUAGUAGUACGAAAUAGAGCAAUAACAGGUCUGUGAUGCCCUUAGAUGUCCUGGGCCGCACGCGCGCUACACUGGGUAAGUCAGCGGGUGACCCCUGGCUGAGAGGUGUAGCGUGGGGCAAUCCUAUGAACCCUAUACUCGUUGUUGGAAUUAGGGUUUGAAAUUGCAUCCUAUUAACCGGGAAUGCCCAGUAAGCGUUUGUCAUGAGCGCACGUUGAUUACGUCCCUGCCCUUUGUACACACCGCCCGUCGCUACUACCGAUUGAGUGAAUUAGUGAGGUCUCCGGACUGACUGCCGCCCUGUGCCGCGCAGUUUUUCAGGAAGCUGAUCGAACUUGUUUACUUAGAGGAAGUAAAA